GGUCAUGAGUGCCAGCAUCGAGCCCCGGCUUGCUGGCCGGCAACCCUCCAACCGCGGUGGGGUGCCCCGGGUGAACGACCAGGCCGAUCCGGUAUGCGAGUGCCGUAUCGACAAGCGCGGGUC
rnacentral:ncRNA from 2 species